AAAAUACCACAGUUAAACUCAAUACUUUUAGGAUUUUAUGGCUGUGAAGAGAUACCAUGACCAUGGCAACUCUUAUAAAGAAAAACAUUUAAUUGGGGAUGGCUUACAGUUUCAGAGGUUUAGUUAUCAUCAUGGCAAGAAGCAUGGCAAAGUCCAGGCAGACCUGGUGCUUGAGAAAGAGCUGAGAGUUCUACAUCAUGAUCUGCAGGCAGCAGGACACCGUGUACAAAACUGGGCAUAGUUUGAACAUAUAUGACCUCAAAGCCUGUCUCUACAAUGACACACUUCUUACCACAAGGCCACACCUACUCCAACAGUGUCAAAUCUCCUAAUGGACCAUGCAUUCAAACACGUGAGUUUAUAUGGGCUAUUACUAUUUAAACCAUCACACUCUGUAUGCUAAUUUUCAAGAGACAAAAAUAAUGUGAAAAAUAAUGUGAAACAAGUUAGGUAGCAUAAUACAGACCUUUAAAAAGUACUUAUUUUUUGCUUGUUUAAAUGAGGGGAGCACACUCAGAAAACUUUUGGAUACUGCUUUUACAGAGGUCCGGAGUUCAAUUUCUAGCAACCACAUGGUGGCUCACAACCAUCUGUAAUGGGUCCCUCUUCUGGUGUGUCUGGAGACAGUUACACUGUACCCAUAAAAUUAAAUAAAUCUUAAAAAAUUACAACAAGCACAUUUUUGUAAUUUCACUUUGAGAAAAUUAAUGAAAAGUAAAAGGAUGCUAUCUGUGUUAUUUCGGGUUUUAUUGCUGUGAAGGAACUAUGAAAAAGGCAGCUCAUAUAAAGACUAACAUUUAAUUGGGGCUGGCUAACACUUUCAGAGUUCUAGCCUGUUAUUAUCAAGCAGGAAGUAUGGCAGCUUGCAGACAGACAUAGCUUUGGAGGAGCUGAGAGCUCUACAUCUUUAUCCAAAGACAGCUAGGAGGAGACUGAAUUUGUUUCACACUGGGCUUAGCUUGAACAUUGAAAAUGUCAAAGUCCAGCUUCCACAAUGACAAACUUCCUCGAACAAGGCCACACUUCCUAAUAGUGCCAUUCCCUGUGGGCCAAGCAUUUAAAAACAUGGAUCUAUGAGGGGCAAAACUAUUCAAACUACUACAUUAUCAAAAUCUAAGUUCUUGUCUGUUCAGACCUACUGGUUAGUUUGCAUUUCAGUGUUGGUCAGUACACAGACUUCUAGUUUGUCCUUUUAAAUAAUGUGUCUUCAUAGAUCCCUAUUUGUGGAAAUUUAGUCUUCUAGUCUACCCAUCCUUCUCCAGGAUUUGCUUUAUUAGAGCCAUUUAAGGUAACUAGAUUCAGAUUUUUGUCUAAUGAGUCUAAGCCAUGCCUAUGCUUUCGUUUUCUCCUAGUUUCUCCUUUAACCUUUCUUCUUCUUUCUAGAUGAACCAUACUUUUAUUUGUAGGUUUUAGAGUUUUGUUUUGUUUUGUUUUACUUUACUUUUAAAUCAUUUUACACUGCUGGGAGUUAGACCCAGGGCCUCAUAUCAACACUAAACAGCUAUUCUUGUAUUUAGUUAUUUCAAGCCUUGGUAAUUGGUUGUUUUUUUAAAAGUUUAAUGUAGAAAUGUUUGAUAUGAGACCUAUAUUUCUAUUUUUUUUCUUUUCAUUUCUUUCUUUUUUCUUUUCUUUUCUGGUUUUUUUUUUUUUUUUGGUUUUGUUUUUACAGUGAUUCUCCUAAGCAUUUUAAACGUUUGCAUUCUCUCUUGCUUGUGAACCCUUAAAUUCUGUUUUUGUUUCUUUGGCUCCCAUUUUGACAGUUAUUGUAAUGCUUAGAAUUAGAAAAGAAGAAAAGGAAAAGGAAACAGGAAGGAAAUGAAACUGCUCAGUCCUGGGGACUGGUUCUGCAUCCUGUAGCGCCUAGGGGCUGACUGGAGGUCAGAGCCUGAGCCUCACAGCUCCUGUUCUGAAUGUGCUCGUGCUCAGGCGGGUUAUGACUUACCUAAUUCCCUUCAGCACCUGGGAACAUUAAAGAGACUUCACAACCUUACAAUUCUCCUUUAUCCACACGAAUAUUUUCUUUCUUGACACAAUGUUACCUCUUGCUUCAGGCUGCUAUGCCGGUUCUUCUACCUCCAGAUGUCAUUAGCAGUCAGCUAGCCCUGGAAAACUGUUGUAGUGGAAACAAAAGGGAAUUCUUUGUGCCUUUUCUUGGAGUUGUCAAACAGAUGGAAAUCCAUGAAUGUCUUUGUGAAUAGGGAUGACAUUGCUGCCUCUGGAAUUAGCAGUCCUUACACCCCAGGCUUUAUGAUAUAUUGUUGUCAGUUUAGGGUACAAGGAAUGGUGAGACAGUAGGCAAAUUAUUUAAUAAUCUACAGUGUUGUUAACAAGAGUAGUAGCUUCUUUAUUUGGUUGUGGCUAGAGUCCAGAAGUCUUUGAAAAUUGAUUCUUAUUUUUACCAGCUUUGUUUGGGGAGUAGUACAGUGCUGAUUAUUAACCCCCCGCCCCUGUGUGUGUGUGUGUGUGUGUGUGUGUGUGUGUUUUGUGUUUUCACUCCCAGCUAGUUUUUCCAAAGGAAUGCGUUACAAAUUUAUUUAACUAGAAAAUAGGAACUAAAAGUGGAAACUCUUAAGUGUGAUUCCAACAACUGACAGUUGUGCACAACAUAUUGAAUAUACUUAGCAAAUUAAAUGGAGAAGUUUCUACUCCUCUGCUGGUUAGUUUUAUGUCAAGUUGGCAUAAACUAGAAUCAUCAGAGAGGAGGGAUCCUCAGUUAAGGAAAUGUCUCCAUAAGAUCAGGUAGUAAGUAAGCCUAUAAUAGGGCAUUUUCUUAAAUAAAAAAUAUAUUUUUUAAAUAAAUAAAAAAAUAUUUCUUAAAUAAAAAAUAUAGGGUGGGGCGGGUAUUGUGAGUGAGGCCACCCCCGGGCUGGUGGUCCUGGGUUCUAUAAGAAAGCAUGCUGAGCCAUAAGUAAGCCAGUUAGCAGCACCCCUCUAUUGUCUCUGCGUCAGUUCUUGUCUCCAGGUUUCACCCUGCUUCAGUUCCUGCCUUACUACUUUUGAUGGUGAACAGUUAUCUGGAACUCUGAGUGAAGUAGUCUUUCCUCUCCAAGUUGCUUUUGGUUCUGGUGUAUCAUUACAAUAGUACUCAUAACUAAUACACUUCCUAAGUGAAGAUUAAGUCCCUUCAAUUUUGUUUAGUAUGAGACCUUAGUAACAGAAGAAAGAGUAAGGCAACUGAGAUACAUAGAUUUGAAAAAAAAAAUCUUUGGUUCUGUAAUGAUCUCUGAAGCCGUAAAAAGUUUUAUGGUAACUUGAGUAAUUCAUUAUUGAAAGAACGUGGAAACACUGAGUACAAAGCCUGGAAGGCUUCAGAACUGACCUGCAUAAUAAAGCCUGCUGCUUUCUUACACCUGCCUUCUUAGCCUCCCAUUCUGUGGCUUUUCAUUCUCUGUUAAUUACUAAAUAACUUAUGUGCUUGACUGUGUGGUUGUGGUAUAAUAUCUAGUUGAUAAUAAAAACAGAAAAAGGUCCUUGUUCUUUAAAAGCUUGUUCUUUAAAACUUGUUAUGUGAGAUGUAAGACAAUUCCAUAAAAUAUAGUCAUGUUUUUAUCAGACUAGAAAAAACAUUCCAUAGGUUUCCCAUGGACUCUAAAUGAUGUGCAGUCAAUAAAUCCAUAUAGUUUUAGAAGAAGCUGGGAAUUUUUACAGUUCAGUUGCUACCAUAAUGGAUAAAGACCUAUUUUCUGGCUUACAUAUAUCUGUCUCUCACAGUAUUAUCCUGUGGCAGAGCGAUGAAGGUCUGGUGUCUCUUCUUUCUAUAUAAUCACUAAUCUCAUAUUGAGAGAUCUGCUCUCAUGAUUUAAAUCUCAACUAAUUGGGUUCUAAAGACCUCAGCUUCUAAUACUAUCUAACUGGAGAUUAAGACCUCAUUCAGUGGAGGUUGGAGAAUGCACAUGUUUAGUCCAUAAUAUUAUUUAAUGACUGACAUGUGGAUGGAUUAUAAUGGAAAUUUAGAGAAAGACAGUCUUUCUGGGAAAGGUUUUUGCGAUUCUAGCCAUUGGUAUUUGGAGAUUUAGUUUGGAGAUACUUGGAGAUAUAAUAAAAUUUAAAAUACUGAUGAAAAAACUCAGUCGUUUAUAGGAAGUAAAUGUAAACAGAGUUUUAGAUGAAUAGUGACUUUGAAUACUUUUUAAAAUAUCAGCAUCUAUGAAUAGGAAGGUAACUGAAUGUAAGUAGUAAAUAGAGGUUUAAUGAAUGAUGUUAUGUAAUUUUAGAAUUUGUUAUAAUAAAUGAAUUGCAAAAAACUCUUAACUGAUUUAUAAUUGUUCCUUUUGACCAAAGUAAUACUGAUUUAUUUUGUAUUAUCCCAAUAGUUUGUGAUUCUAAAAGUUUUAUAAAAUACUUAAAAUAUUAGUAAUUAUAAUUCUUAAUUCUUACAUAAUACAGUGCAUUUUCUAGUCAUUUUAUUUCCUAGAUGCUUUAUCAGUAAACUUUCUUUUGUAAAUAAGGUUUUGUCAUUAAAAAGUUGAGCUCUGAUGUUUAUUUCUGAGGGGUUAAGGUCUGUAGGAAAAGAACAUACUUUCUUACCAUAACAACAGAGUGCCAAAGCCAUACAUCGAGAAUCCAAAGUCUCAGGAGCUUGCCAGCCAGUUUCAUUAUAUGAUACUGGGAUGUACUGCACCUUGUUCGUUUUGUUUAUUUACCAAUGUUGGGGACACGACAAAGUGCUUAGACUUUCUUGUGUCACAUAUUGUGACUUUCAGGAUGUUUUCUAUGAUUUUUUUUUAAAAGCUGUGGAUUCUCCUGUAAUUGAAUGUUUGAAAUCUACUUUCUAGGUGGGUGUGGUGGCUGGUGUCUGUAAUUCUAGCACUGCUUUUGCUUCUAUGGUUUAACUGCUGAUAACUAAGAGACCACUUGUUAAAUAGAGGGAUUUUGUGAAUUUUGGAAGAUAGUUUCCUACUAUAGUCUCUUUAACACAACUGUGCUAAAAACCACCAUACAAGUUAGAAAGCUAGCUUUCUCUAGAUGAAACAGACAUAUUCUGCAAUAUCUCUGAGGUUGGUUUUUGGUAUUUGGAACACAAAAUUAUGGAACCUUGACUGUAGUUCUUGUCAUUAAAUGAUACAUAGAAGGAUGUUAUGUUAUCAACUAUGAAAGAUGGAAACUUAGACUUUAUAUAGCAGAGCCUAAUUGCCAUACAUUGUAGAUAUUUCUUCUGUAUAAAGCAAAUCUUUUCUCGUUUAUCUGAGACCUUCUCAUAGUUAAUUACUUCAUAUGUUUAUACAUUUGGGGAAUUUAUACCAGGCACUGCUAUAAUAUUUGAAACUUGUUUAACAAAUUAGUCUGAAAACAUUCAGUGAUGCCCUUUUCAUUUUUUGUUCUUAUUACUGGAGCUUCUACAGAUUUAGACACUGGGUCAUAGGUAUGGCUUCAUACCUGCUACUAGUUUCACAGUGAAUAUUUAUGUUAGUGAGAUAGAAAACCUUUUCUGGGUUGAUAAGGACUCGAGAAUAGCUUAAUAUAGUUAUGGCUCGGGUUAAUUAGACAUAUAAUAAUGAAUGGAUAUUUGCUCUUUACUUAUAUGGAAUGAUAAGAUAAUAGUUGACUUUGAUAGAUUCUCAAGAAAAUAGAGUGACAUGGCACAGGACACUGUGUUGGAAACGUAAGAAGAUAAUGUCAUGUCAUAGUAUACAUUGCAUUGUCUGAAAACUCACAGGCUCAGUUUUGUGGGUCUUCAGACAAGUCCAUGUUUUAGAUGGAGAGUUAGGGUUGUUCUACUUUCCUAAUAACCUAAUGCUGACUGUGGGUGAGUGUGUGACUGUGAACAUAACGAUGUUUGUGCACUUGUGUGUAGAUGCUGAGGCCAGAUGUUAAUGCUGGGUAUCUGCAUCUAUACUUUCUUCUUUUCUUUUUCUUUUUCAAUGGGGCUUAUUAUGUACCCUCUUGCUGGCCUUAAGCUCAUUGGAUAUUUCUGUGUCUUCAAGGUUGCCCCAGACU
rnacentral:lncRNA from 1 species